rnacentral:rRNA from 1 species
GACGAACGCUGGCGGCGUGCUUAACACAUGCAAGUCGAGCGGUAAGGCCCUUUCGGGGGUACACGAGCGGCGAACGGGUGAGUAACACGUGGGUGACCUGCCCUCAGCUCUGGGAUAAGCCUGGGAAACUGGGUCUAAUACUGGAUAUGACUCCACGGUGCAUGUCGUGGGGUGGAAAGCCUUGUGCGGCUGAGGAUGGGCCCGCGGCCUAUCAGCUUGUUGGUGGGGAUGGCCUACCAAGGCGGACGACGGGUAGCCGGCCUCGAGAGGGCGACCGGCCACACUGGGACUCGAGACACGGCCCAGACUCCUACGGGAGGCAGCAGUGGGGAAUCUUGCGCAAUGGGCGAAAGCCUGACGCAGCGACGCCGCGUGAGGGAUGACGGCCU